AUUUUUUCUCCUUAAAGCACAUGUACCUGGGAGGUCACAGUCUUAACAAAGUCAAAGUUUUGUGUGUUUGAGAGCUUUGCCCUACUACCAUGUAAUUGAAAUCAAGCUUUUAAAAGCUCACGGUAAUAUGUUUGUUCUUUAACCUCACCCAACGAAGAGAGAGCGCUUUGCUGAGAGAACCCAUUGUUACGCUCCUGCACUUAACUGAUAAGGAACUGAUACAACCAGUAGCAAAGAAAGAAACUAAUAAUAAUAUAAAAAGAUUCACAUGCCUUCCUUCCCCAGCAUACUAAUGCCUUGCCCAAUGAAUUUCCCAAGUUGUUAACAAAUGAGGUGCAGUAUAUUUAAUAAUAUUAACAUAUUGUUGCAAGGCUUAUUUAAUAACAGGUAGGAGGGAUGAGUUCUCAUGUCAGAAAAUGGAGGGCCUCAUGCCAUUUGGAGACCUGCUCAUUAUCCGUUCUUACAAUUUAAUGAUAUAUGUGUCUAUUACCGAGGAGAAGUAGAGGAUCUACUCAGGAACUCUGUGAGAUUGAUUGACUGGAAAAACGCAUAAAGGCUUAAACUAUCUUACAUCAUCUGCCAUGCAUACAGGACACUUUCUCUGCUAUGUGAAAAACUCUGAGCAACUGGAGACAGUGAAAAUAUGUAAAUGGGACUGGGCUGAUUUCAAGGAGAUGACAUGUGGGUUCUGAAUGUGUUCGGCAAACCAGGAAAUCACAUCCUUCCCAUUCCAGGAACCAGGACCUCAUGAGCGAACUUCGCUCUGGAGAAACCUAGUGAGACGUGAGAACAACUUGUGCAAUAAAAUCAGCGGGGAAUGGAUAUCAAAGUGUACAGCAACAUACUCAGCUGUCCCCAGAUGUUCAGAUACCAAGAAGAUGACAAUGAGGAGCCUGGGAGAUGGCAUUCCUUGAACCUCAACAACUCCAACAGUCUCACAAGCAUUCAAAUGGGAACUCUGAACAAAACACAUUCAGGAGUUGAAAAAUCCAACUGGCUCUGAUGUUUCCUGUUUUCCUGGAUUGCAGCAGUGCUGAUAGUCAGAUACGGCAUGAGAAGGGUGUGGGAAAUGGCAGCAGAACAUACCCUGCCCUGUCUUGGAACAUGAGGAACUUCACCUAUGCUCAAAGAGAAGAUCGAGGAAAACUGGCAGAGGGAGGAAGCGUAUCUGGAGUGUUUUGGCUGUCGUGUAAAAUUUAAAAGAAUGUAUAAAUCCAUUGCAAAGGCUGUGCUUUGUAACAAUCUCCUUCCGUGAAUUUUGCUGGUUUCUGAAAUUCCCCAUCUGCAAACUUCUAUUAUAUUCUUCUCAGUUCUUCCCUGAUUCUUCUUUUUUUAUUAUUAUUAUUGAAUCCCCCAGGAUUUUCUAGCCAGAGGAACAUGUAGCUCUCAUAAACGAUGUAGACCUGCAUCCCUUUGGCUUCUCUGCUCUGAUGUGCUCAGGGAAAACCUGAAAAUAGACAUCAGGAUGGUUUCUUCACCCUCUGCCACUGUCUGACAUAGAUGACCUUCAUCAAGUCACAUCAUCACACACACCCAUUUAUAGAUCAGAGAGGGCAGUACUGCCUCAUUUGAGCACUGCUGUGGGUUAUGGGAGCCUUGCUAACUGCAGGGGCUGUGCAAAGGGAGCGCUGCGCAGGUUCAGACUGUCCCUGUGCAAGGAUUCCUCCGACGGCAGCACCGCCACGUCCCGUCUCACAGCACCUGACAACAUUCCAGUUGGAGCUUGCACUUUCAGGCAGGGGCUUUCAAGUUUGAUCCCUUCAAAUCUCUGAAGUUCACCCGCACAAUUACCUCUGCUGUUCAAAGCAAGCCAGGGCUUAGAUGGAAAUAAAGAACACGAAAGGAUUUCCCAGGGUGCUCCUGGAUACAGAGAAAAAAAAAAAAAAAAAAAGGAAUGGAAAGGGAAAAAAAAAAAAGAAGAGAGAAAGAAGAAAGAGAAGAAGCAUUACACCUUGAAGUUCUUGCAGUUUAUGUGAUAUUGUGUGAUAUUAAAUGGCCAAAUUCUGUUCUCAGGUGGCUGAGAUCAAGCCCUGCUAUGCUGCUGUUGCAGCCAUCAGCACACAUCUUGGUGCUCUGUGUGCUCAGGGGGAACAGCUGUGGGAUCCCUGAGGGUAUGGGGACCUAAUUUGCCCUAAAAAGCCCAGAGGACCUUUGCUAGCAGUUGUAACACUUCUCUCAAACAGUAUUGUGUUUUCAGCUGGAGACAGCAGCUGCCCCUUGCAGAAUUCAGGCUCCAUCAGACCGAAGCUCCAUCCCGUUGUUUUAUGAGAAAUUCACAUACACAUAGCUGUAAAUUAGACAUAUCAUGGAUUAACCUGUAAUAAGCUGCUCCUUUAGGUUUAAAAUUGUUACCAAUGAGCCGCAAAUUUUAACUAUUACCUACACCUUAUUCCCUCCCUGACUCCGUUUGCCCUGUUUCCAGUGUUGACCUCACUUCCUGCUUUUCUCUUUCUUCUCCUGCUAAUUAGGCAUAUUUGUAUGUCUUAGGAGGGCACCUGAUCUUGCUGCUUAUUUCCCACUUGGAUCAAAAGUCUUUAAAAAAAGUUUCAGCUUUUAAAACACAUUUUACGAGAUGACUAUAUAUAUAACUAACCUCUUAGGAUCGAUACUGACCUACAUCUUUUUCUUCUGUCAUAAUGGGCUUAUCUUUACCUGAUGCUUAAAAUAAUCUUUUCACCUGAGCAGUUCUGUCAUUUACACUUUCUUUCUCUUUCUGUCUGUUAAAAAAACAUUGCAAGGAAAAGAAAAAUCAUCUAUUGGAUACAGCCUGUUUGCACUGGGCACACAUGUUUAUGAAUCAGAUAAGACCUUUGUGUGUCAGGUAGGUGGUGGCACUAAAAGCUUUGUAUAUCACGACAUCAAAGCAGCCAGGAGAUGAAAGAGCAUAUUUUUGCAUCAUAAACAAUAUUUACAUAUUGUGAUAUUCCAAGAAUCUUUCAUUUAAACAGGUGGAAAAACAGGGAAGCAAGCACACAUGCAAGGCAAAAUCUUACUUGUGGUUGAUGAUUAAAUUUUAUAUGGCUUUGAUAUAACCACUGCAAUUAAGUGCAGUGAUGAGCAAGGACUUGUUUUGCUCUUUAUAGGGUACACAUUGUUUACUAAUCCCUGGUUCAUAUGAUAAAUCCGUCAUCAUCUGGGCACAGCUGCAAAUAAAAUUUUAAAAGGACAAUUUUCACCCAGUGGAGCAAAUUUCAGACUUCUUCUCUCUCCUGUGCCGUCUCACUGUAUUUUUUCCCCCUGUGCAAAGCUUAAUAUAGGCAACUUUUGAACUCAGACUCAGACUUCAGCCCUUUUGUCGCCAGAUUCUAUCAAUUGUCAGGCUCUGGAUCACACAUUCUCAAUGUAAAUAGAGGCUGGAGAUUCAUUUAGCAUUGCAGCCGAAGGUGGUUGUUAAAAACUGGAACGCGCUCAAUCACUGCAAAUCAACACACUGCAAUUUUCACUUUUCCUGAUUUUGAGCAUUCAUCACCACUUGCUCUUCACCCUUGAAAAGAAGGGCAAAAAGACAAAUUACUUUAAUUAGGAAUUAGUUAUGAGAGAAUGAGGUGUUCUAAUUAUAUCUAGAACCUCUUAAAUAGUUUCACUCAGGCUUAUUUGAUUUCUUAAUUACUGAAAGAGAAAAGCCGCGUGCAAAUUGUGUCAGUUUUUUAAAAGUGAAAUGCUGUCGCUCCUUUGAUAUGAUGGAUUAGUCUUCAAUGAACAGCGGUAAGGCAAUAACACCUCUAAGACAGCACAUGCAUUAGCACAGGACAAUCUUUUUUUGUUGAAACAUUAGAUAAUCACCUUCUCCCGUAUCUCAAAAUACAUUAUUUUAUACACUACGGUGUGAAACCAUAGAUGUGACAGGCUGUAAUGAUUUAUUUAUGAGACAUUAUUCUUUGAUGCAAGAAUACAUUAGGUUAUAGAUCCCAUUUCCACAGAUAUAAUAUGUCAUGUGCUGCAUCUGAGCUCCAGUAAGAUACUGUGGGAUGUGAGUUUCAUUUUGUAUAUAUAAAACUGCAUAUAAAUAUAUAUUUUAUGGCUCUAUCAACAACCAAAGUUGAACAGCAGUUUCCCUUUUAAUGGAUCCUUCAAAUCAUAUUUUUCCUGGGCUUGUCUGAAAAUAUAUAUCAAAUUGGUGGUAGGUCUGAAGAGACUGUGGUGGCAACAGUAUUUAGUUUAUAAAUGCUUUGAAUACUAUUCUUUGUUAUGGAUGUUGAAUGUAUCUAUUUUAGCUAUUUCAGGAAUUAUGUAGAUCAUUUUGAAAGUAAUUAUCCAGAUUAUUAGCAGCAUUUUUCAACUGUAUCUUUGCUUGUCUUAAUAACAUGUCCAACUGUAUCUGAAACACAGAGUGCAGCUCAAAUUCUGAAUCAGAAAGCGCAGCACAAAUUUAAAAUCCCUCUAAAAAUGGUUUUCAUGAUUUCUUAUUCUAUUUUUCUUCCUCUCUUCUUUACUGAAGGCAAAAUUUGUGAAAGAUUCAGUGUUGGAUGGACGUGUCUACCAGGCAAAGACAGCAGCUAGUGUUCAUCACAUCUGCAGUCCUACUCUGGCAGGAUCAGGACUCGGAUGGCCAGUGCCUAUGGGGCUGAGAGUGAGGAGGGACCUGGAACCUCAUGGGGACAGGAAAAGAAGAGUCAGGUCCUGUUCCAUGGAGAAACAGAAGGAAUUAGAGUAUCCUCCUCUCAACAAAGACAGUUCUUCCAUUUCAUGGAAAGAGGAUGCACCACUGCUUGCUUCAGUCUGCUAUAAUACUUGCAGAAAUUGCCUACAUCAUCUACAUUCAAAGCCUGCUCUGUAAUGGGCAGUGGAUAUCACUUAUGUAAUUAAGCAGAGGUAAAUAAACAUGCGUAUGGUACGCAGUUAAGCUAAUCAUCCCAGAUUAUCAGUACAGUCAGUGAGGACAUAGACAGGCUAUGCAUAGGAAUCUUGAGUGUGAUUCGUCCUCCUUAAGUAAAUGUAUACAGUAGGUCAGGAAAACUGCACCCUAAAAACACUUAUUUCUCUUCCUUGCCUAUAAGGAGAGCCCAGAGUGAUUAGCACAGCUGUAGAUAUCUAUUCUGUAGAUGCUGAAAGAGAAAUGACACAAAUUCCACCCUGAUGUCUGCAAAAACAAAUGAAGUUUGCCAUAAUGGUGGUGGUUGAGCUGUGGCUUGCAACGCACAACAGGAAUAUGUGGAGAUGCUUCUAGCUUCUCCUUGAUCAACUCUGAGCAUCAAUAGUUUGCAGAGGUGUCUCAGGGCACUUGUUGCUAAAGUCAUAAUUAGUCUGUUGGUAAGGUGGGACACAAAUCAGAUUUAGAUUCCUGAAAGAGAUGCAGCUCUUACAUUGUGGAGGAUAAAAACAGAACAUUUAAUUGCCAAAUGGACAUAUGAAUAUGUCGAUCAAAAAACUUUUUUUUUUUUUUGGGGGGGGGGGGAAGUAAAAAGUUAUGUCUUAGGUGGAGGAACAACUGGCUAAUCCUUCAUAGAAUCAUUAUCCUAGAAUCAUAGAUUCAUUAAGGUUGGAAGAGACCAAGAUCAUCUGCUCCAACUGUCGACUCAUCCCCAGCAUGCCCACUAAAUCAUACCCCUCAGUGCCUGAACUCUUCCAGGGACAGUGACUCCACCACCUCCCUAGGCAGCCUGUUCCUAUGUGUUACUACUCUUCCUGAGAAUAAUUUUUUCCUAACAUUCAAUCUGAACCUCCCUUGGUACAACUUAAGGCCAUCACCUCUCAUCCUAACUGCUGUUACCUAGGAGAAGAGGCCGACACCCACCUCACUACAACCUCCUUUCAUGCAGUUGUAGAGACCAAUAAGGUCUCCCCUGAGCCUUCUCCAGACUGAACAAUCCCAGUUCCCUCAGUCACUCCUCAUAAGACUUCCAGGAAUUUCAAAGGCCGAAAGUCUCGGUGUUAGCAUUAGGAGAUACCAAAAUGAUCUGACCAUGUAGGGAUGCACCUUGUAGUUGUAUCAUCCCCAGUCUGAGGAGUUGGGGCCAGUGUGGAUACCCUUAUUCCAUCUCACCAAAUGAAGAGCAAAAUAGAAAACCAUUCAUGCUGACUUGCCAGCUACUGCCUUUCAAGUAUCAUUACACAUUUCACAACAAUCUUCUCCUUUUAUAAGUACAAUCACUUGUGGCUCUGGGAUCUACCUACCAACUGCUCUUUAUUCAUCAUUUCUCCAGCAACUCAUACCUUAACAACAUUACACCAGAGCAGAGCCUGUCUGUGGCUCCACACAGAGCUCGACAAUGUCCUGCCUACAUGUGGAUGGAUGGAGGCAGUCAGUAAGAAGCAACUUUAGGCACUGCCUUCUCCCUGGGAACUACAGGCAUUGACUCUGGAGCAUAUCCCAGCUCUUGCCAGCACAGUAAGCAAGAGAUUUCAUCAUAAUCAUUUUAAUAUCUUUCAAAUGUUGCAUGGACAGAUAGCAGUCCAGGAAGAAUAUACACUAGAGGGUAGUCAGGGAGCGUGAUUAGUAUUGGAAACAAGUAUUUUUCUUGGCAGAGGAUGAGCAUGCCAUUUGACAGAUAGCAAAACACGGCAAGAAUGCUGCUCAGUAGUAGCAAAUGCCAAACAUUCUCUUGUGUACACCGAAGAAACUGAGUUUUGUUUUGUCUUGUUUUGUUUUUAAGCAUAGGGGAAGGGAGGGGGCUUACCACUGUCUGCAGUAGCACACAUGGCAGUACCUGCUUCUACUGCACUGUGCUCACAGCAGCUGGGAGCAUUUUCCAUGUGGGAUGGUUCUUCUCCCAAACCAAUCUAACAGGGUUAAUAAGCAAUCUGAAAAUACUGACUGGGCUUUAAUUUCUGCUGGUGGAGAGCAAACCAUUACCAUUACCAUCUUUCACACAUACAUGCAUCUCAUCUUCUGUAUCAGUGUCUGUCAGCUGUUGCAGUCAGCCAAGAAAAAAUGGGAUUAUUUCUGAGCAGUCUGGACUUCUGAGAGCCCUUUAAAUUAAAACAAAGCUCUAUGUCAACAAAGUUUUAUUUUGGUAUGUUUUACUCCAUUGCCAUAUACUGCAGAAUAAAGUGUUUGGGUGUCUAAAGAGAAAGUUAAACAGCAAUUAUUUAAUUUUCAGAUUGUCUCUGGUAGGCAUCCAGGGCAAUGAGAUUUUGAUAAAUAUUUUAUAUGGAUUUUUACAGAAUGUGUAUCAUCUGCUCUUCUAUAUGGAAGCAGACAACUUCUUGUCUGUGGUGCCAAUGACUUUUAACCUAAGUCACAGCUUGACAGGAUAGUUUUUUAGAAAACAAAGCACCAGGAUAAAAAAUCAUCCCUUGGCCUGGGAGAGUGAUUUUCCACUCAGGUGCAAUGCAGCUUCUCAGAGUCACUCAGGCAAAGGCUCUGCAGUCCUGAACUGGCCUGGUUUCCUCAGCUGUGGCCUUUUUCUUAUGAGAGGACAGCUGAUUGCAUGACCCCAUGAAACACAAUUUAGUGGAUAAAUCUGGAAGGCAAAACAAAUCCUUGCUUUUGAACCAAGCCCAAGAUAAACACCUGGGUAAAAGAAGAGCCAUCACACAGCUUUUCACAGAACCAGCUCUUCCAAAGUUUGGACACAACACUUUUCAUUCUUCAUUCAUUUCUUAGGGCUUGUGAAAGUAGAAGUGUUUUCUUCAGCUCUUGAUUUUACACGUUCAGUCAUGCUACCUGCUAUGCUUGGAACAAUCUUGUACAUCCUUUCAUGAAAUCUCCUCCCACCUCUCCAUACAAUGCAUUCCCACAGCAGUGCUGCCUCUUCUUUUCCUCUAAGGUCACUGCUCUCCCUAGAAUUUGGGCCAGCUGUUACUCCUGUGGCGUUGUUCACUUUCUCCAGAUUACCCUGUGUACUCCUCAGGGAUGCAUACCUUACUACACACUGGAGAAGCAAACUGAAGUCCAACCAAAGUUAAUGGCAAAAUUCCCAUCAACUUCAACAGAGCCAGGAUUUUGCUCAAAGUAUUCAAAUGAGUCCUUCGCUGGGCGUCUGUGAUGCAGAUAUUUCUGUGUCCAAGGGCAAAUUGUAUCUCCUAUCUACAUGUAAAGCAGACCGGACAGCUAAUAUUUUCAGUGUAGUAUUUCUGUCUAAAAUAAGCAAUUUUGUCUGAUAGCAAUAUAGAAUUUUAUAUAGCAUGUAAAAGCCUGAUUAUAUAAAGCUUUUUGUUCUUUUUUUCCACUUCAGUUGGCAAAUAUAUAUUUGCAGAUAUCUUAUCUAUAUGUUGCUGUUUCCUUGAGCACCUCAAACAAUAAAUCGAAACAUGCCUCAUGGUAACAUUGUUGGGUAUUUUUCUCUCACCCACAUACAUACCUACAAAGGUUUAAAAUACAACUUUUGAAAAGAUUCAGGACUGAAGGGGGAAAAUAAUCUUAUUAUGCAACAAUUAAUUGUCCUGCCAAAUGUGGGUGCCUUGGAAGCUUGAACAACCCGCCAACACACCUGUGUACAUUGGCAUUAAGUUAAAUCAAUAACAAAAAAAAGGCCCGCAGCCAAUUACCUGUCACAUGGAGAUUCAUUUUAAGUGGAGGUUUUACAAGCAUAACUUGAAUCAUAUCAUACUUACAAGAUAGUCCGUAUAUGAUAUUUACAAAGAUAUUUGAAUUGAGAAUAACAUUGAACCAAAAAGCUGUGUAUUACAAUGUCAUUAAGAAGCAAUCAACAGACACAGUAGCAAUUAAUUUUCUGUCACAACAGAGAACAGUAAUUUACCAAAAUACAGAUAGGAGCAAAAAGAAAUGUGUUUUCUCUAAAUUGCAAUUUCUUGUGAUUAUUAUCAUACAUUAGGCCAGGAAAAAUGUCAUUUCCUACUUCCUGUCUUUCACUGUCUUGAUAUAUAUGCCUCACGUAUGCCCAUUUAUUGCUUUGUAAUUAUUUUCCAAAUAGUUCUUUGGUUGUUUAAAAACAGCUCAGCCUUAUUUCUUGUAUUUUUUUCCAGUAUAUGAAGAAAUUACAUGAUUACUAUUUCCUCCUUUACAGUGAUUGCCAAACCAGGUUCAUGAACGUAACAAUCAUGCAGUAUGGAGUAAACAGGAGUCAGAAGCACAGUUCUGUCCCUCUUCCAGUUCUGCCCAUCAAGGCACAUCAGACAUCAAGGAUGGUCUCGUAGGUAGUUUUCAUAAUGGGAAAGGACCUAAUAGUGGUAACAAAGCCUUGAUGUGCAAGAUGCUGUAUGAAUCUUCAGCCCCCAUCCAUUUCAGUAGAUGUUAAAGGUGCAAAGUAUUUGGCCUAAUUCAUCAACUUGUCUUUCUCUACUUACUUCUUCACCACAGAGUAACUCAAAAAGUCACUGUAGGUUUUGAGUUGUUCUCUGCAGUCCUGUAUUCUAGAUUCUAUUUUUUUUAAAGUAUAUUCAUUUAUUAGUAUGAAUCAUGGUCAAUUUAAAAAGCUUUCAUGUUAAAGACAGUACUCAUAAAAUCUAUAAUGGAUAUUUCAUCCAUUUUCCAAGAAUUCUGAAGAUCAUUUUUUAAUCAUGAUGAAUCAACAGCUCCUUCUGACACAGCACUGUUUCUCCACCAAGGCCAUUGCAUGGCGUGCAGGCAUGCUGUCAGAGCAGAACCAGCUUCAGGAUGUGCUAUGACUUGACCUGCCUGCAAGAGAGGAUAGAACAUCCUCUAACUUAAGAACUCUUCCAGCAAUCCUCCAAUUGUUUCAAAAUUAUUUGAUAAAAAUGCAGUUUAGGCCCUCUUGAGGUUCAUCUUAUAGUGAAAUAUACCUUUACACUAAUACACUGGUAUAAGGCUAGAAUGUAACAGAUGAGAACUGCAGUGGUUCUAACUGCUGUAAUGUUUUGUGAACUGGGAAGAUUUCAUUCCACUUCACUAUGAAUUUGAUCAAGUUAAAUUUCAGUAAGAAAAAUGAUGGUAACAUAAUGCCAAAGAUCCAUUAAACAAGAUCUUACUGCACUAAGUGUUGCAUAUAUUGAAUUAAAAGAUUGCCUUACUGUUAUGGUUUAACCCAGCAAGUGGCAAAGCACCACACAGUCAUUCAUUCACUGUUCCUCUUCCAAGUGGGAUUGGGGAGAGAACUGGAGUUGCGCCAGGGGAGAUUCACGUUGGAUAUUAGGGAAAAUUUCUUCUCUGAAAGAGUGAUCAGGCACUGGAAUGGGCUGCCCAGGGUGGUGGUGGAGUCACUGUCCGUGGAGGUGUUCAAGAAAUGUUUAGAUGUUGUACUGAGGAACAUGGUUUAGUGGGGAAAUAUUGGUGGUAGGUGGAUGGUUGUGCUUGAUCUUGGAGGUCUUUUCCAAUCUUAAUGGCCUCAAUGACUAUGAAUUAUCAUUAAAAGUGACACUCAGGAGAAUAGUUCCAACUGUUCACAAACAUGUUUUCCCUGUCAGACUUGAUUUUCUAUAUUUCCAUAAUUUUUUACCAUAAACUCUGUGUUUUAUAAGAUUGUCUGUAUAUUUGAGGGUUCUCUUCUGAAGAUGUUAUUCCAGAAUGGUUUUAUUCUUUAAAUAUUAAGGUGAAGAGAAUCAAAGAUUUUACACCCUUCCUCUCAAGCUGCCUUAUUCUUCAAAAAAUGUUUAGAAUUGCAUUAACAUCUUGUAAAACUAUAACAUUAGCAGCUAGAAGUCACUGUUAAAGCUUGAAGUCACUGUCAGUGAAGUUACAUUAAUUAAUGUUUCCUGUGUUAAUGUAUCUAAAUCUUAACUGUAAUUGAGUAGUUACAUCAGCUAGGUUGUCCUUUUUACUUUUUCAGACCUUAAGCAGUAUUGAUGAGUAUUUCCUGUUAUCUGAAUAACAAUAUACUCCAGGAUUGUAAAGGUAAUGUGUCCAUUAGCAGUAAGUCUCUCACUGGCCCUUACAGCUCCCACAUCCUCGUUGGAAAACAGGGCCACAGUCCUGAAGACCUGAGGCUGUUUUAAGCUCCUCAAAUAAAGACGUUUCUCUCAAAGCAGAGUUAGAAGCUGAAGAUAACAGAGUGCAAUAGGACUUGUGAAAAGGAUGUCAGCAAUGUCAGUUGUCAUGGUUUCGGGUCUGAGAGAGCGUUAAGUUUCUGAACUUGUUCUGUUAUCAGAGCCACUCUCAGUUCCCCAUUUAUUGCCAAACUAUGUAGACUCAGAGAAGCUGGAAACAUGAGGGACCUGUCUGGCGUCUGAGUUCAGACUCUUUCAGGAAUGCUCCAUACCUAAGUUUCCAAAACAUACCAAGUGCUAAAUGGCUUCAUCCAGGGACCCUUGAAGCCACUGAAGUGCAAUGUAUCAUUGAGGUGCUUUUCUCGUCCAAUAAUUCUAAUUUUUGUAGAGUUACUUGUAAGGUCUUGCAUCUGCAAAGCAGAAAAAAAGAUUGAGAAAACGUUAUUUCCAAAAAUUAAAAAUUAAAUAAAGGUUAAUUUAAUAAAGGUGAUCAUAUUUCAAUUCAAAAAAAAAAAAAAGUAUAGUUCCUUUUCACGGUUUUAACAUCAGAAAUGUUUAAACAGCCAACACCUCCCAGCCAGGUAUCUUUUUUGAAGCAUCUAUAUAUUGAACAAAAUAGUUAGGAGUUAUCAUAUCUACUGCGACCUAGUAGUAUUUUUGAUACAGGAUUUCAGAUCAAUUAACAGAGAGUCACAGAGUGAGAACUACUUAAGAGUGUGUCCCAGGUAGGGCACUGCCAAUGGCACAAGCCAAGCAGAACGCAAGAAUUCAUCCUUGAGAUCCAACUGGAAGAUGUCAUUGAAAUGCCAGCAGUUCCGUCUGCCAGACUUCAAGUUGACAGGAUUGAGAUCUUCCCUCUUUGGAAAAAAAAGACAACAGAUAAAGAUGCCUCAGUGGAAAUAUGCCAGGUUUCUAUGCAAUCACUCACCUCGUCAAGCUGGGAUAAUUUCCACAUUGCUCCAUCAUACAUUGACUCGAAUUACACUAUAACUUUGAAAUCAACAUUUUCUAGUUGUCUCCUUGAAAACUUCUCAAAAUGAUCUUCUUAUCCUUUCUGUUCGUCUGAUGAUCAUAGUAUUUGGAGUACAGUAUUAGCUGCAACUGAGGAUACAAACCGAUACAUAUACUGACUACAGAUAUGUUUGCAUUUACACUUGUGUAUGCGUACUGCAUUGCAGUGGAAAAAAAAAAAACGUUUACUUAAGUGAAAUUGGUAUUACUCUGUUCUCAUAUGGCUAUGCAGAGGGCACGGUUACCUUCCAGUGGGAAAUAGAUACCAUAGAGGCAUUUAACAUCAAGCAGUUGACGGUGAAACUACACACGCUUUCAUAUAAAAUGCCACGGAACUAAGUUACUGCAUUCUUCAAUAUUCUUCUCUGAGACCACUUCUAACUUUUAUGAUCCCUCUAAUUCAAACUUAAGUAAUAGAGAAUGUGUCAAUACAACUUUCCCUUUAAGUAUUGCUAAGGAGCAUGCAGGAGCCCACAUGUUUGCUUAACUGGCCCUGCAACCAACACUGCUAACAAUAAAACCAGAAGUUCAAACCCAGUUCCUUGCUUUCAAGUAUGCCCUUCAAACAGAAAAUACCAGUUUGUCAUCCUUCUAAAACAAAGUGCAUGAUAACCAGGAAUAAAUCUAACGUAUCUACCCCAUCAUUUUACUGACUUUUUUCAACACAUACUUUCUACCAAAGGUAACAGCUACUCAUGGCAUAUAUGCGUGUGCAUUGGUAAGCAUGCCUCAGAGACAUACAACCUCCCCCACCCUGCAUUUUCAAGUGCUAUAACACACUGCCUGCUUCCUAGUCCUGCAAAUACCCUUGAAGUGGAAUAAUGUUUAACAGAGGGCAAUACUGCUGGAGAACUGCCAAAGAAAUGAAGGGUGAGGGAAGCCAGUCAAGGCAUUCUGAUGAAUAUUUUUGUACCUCCAAAGACACAACUAUUAUGCAAACAUUGACCUGUUUGUCAAGCAAUCACAGUUUACUAUUGCUUAAAGGUCACAGAAGUUUCUAAGAUUAUUAAAUAAUGCAUGGAGCCAAAGACCAAGGAUAUUAUUUAAACAGUGGAGGUAACUUUUGUUAGUGAAGGACAAUACGAUGACAAUGCCCCUUUAUUUUCCCUUGAAAAUCUCUAGAGUUUGCACUGUAAUAUAGUAAUGGCCCGUUUAAGCUGAAAGAAGGAACUCUGCUGCGGAAAUGUGGCUCAGUACUACAAUAAAAUAUUACAUGCGUUUUUCUCCCCCUUUCUCUACAUUUGUUGGUACAUGAUUUAUGUUUUUCUACAGGCCUUUCUCUGGUGCUAGGGAGCAACAGUCUCUCCAGCAGUCUAUACGCAUAUAUUUGUGAAUGCAAUGAUCAGUCCCCAUUUGUCUUUCCAAUGUGGAUUAUAAUCCAGUGCAAAAAUUGUUUUGCAACAAUUGAGAGUAUGUGCUGUGCACACAUAAACAGGAAUCAGCAGAGGUUUGCAAAACCUAGUAUCAACUUUGUCAUCUGUUGAGACUGCUUCAUGAUAAGAAAUCCCACACUUACUGUUUCCCAAAGGCUGCAGUCCCUUCUAUUCUCACUAGGCCUUCCAGGUCAUCUCUUCGUGGUCUUCAGACAUUCCCAAGCUCCAGCUAGGUGAGUGAUCCCUUCCAAUGCAAAGAAUUCUGCUCCAUGACCUUCAGUUUCCAGGUAGCUGCCCUUUUGACAGAGACCCAGAAGGGUACAUUUCCCCCAUUUCACCAAGCAGCUACAAAGUUGUUCUGAAAGCUGCAGUGGGCCGGCCCUGGGAUCUUCAUCAGAAACUACAAGCAGAUAAUCUCAAAGGUUUUGUUCCAUCUCAGAAAUAAUCAGUACUUCCCUCUACAUUUAUAAAGCACAGCUGUGUAUAAACUGGAAGAUAAUGGAAGUGAAGUAUUAAUGACAGAAUUUCUGAUUUAAACAAAAUGAAUAAAAAAAGAAUAGCAGUCAUGAAUUUGGGUGGAUUCUAGCACUCAGUGUUUUUUUUUCUUCUUGGUGGUACUUGGCUACUGUUGCCUCAUUUUUAUGAACAUUUAUAUUUGGAAGACUCCCCAUUAUCAUUCUACUUGGUUGCCAACAGCAAAAGCCAUAACGACAGGUCCAAGAAGGGACAGAGAAAGAAGAACAUUUGGAGGCCAACAGAGAACUAAAAUUUCAGUUUCAUUCAUCAUGAUCAUGAAUAUGCACUCCCAUCAAAACAUUUAUAGGUGACUUACAGUAAUAUGAAAGACACCUAGCUGCCAAGAAACCUUUGGUCAUAUCACAGGGCAACCGAGGUUAUCAUCAAGAACAAAAACUAAUCUUAGAAAAAAAAUCCAAUAAAAAGACAAUAUCUCUGGACAAUUAUUUCACAUGACAAAUAUCACGACUUCAUAGAAUAACUCAGUCAUUCCAAGAAGCACUAUUUCUCCUGGAAAUCCAGAUGAAGUGAUUUGUGGAGUGGGAGGUACCUAAUAAAGCCAGUGGAAGUGUUGGCAGGGAGUUUAAUGGCACAGCACCAGAAUGACACUCCUGACCUUACAGUUUAAGCAAGAUGCCUUCAGAGGAAAGAGAAGAAAGAGCCCGUUAUUAAUGGAGUUGACAGAUACAGAAUUAAGCCUGAUAAACCCAAACUACAUUCUUCAGAGUCACCUUCCCACUGAAAACUUAUGGGCAUUUGUACUUACAUGCAGUAACUUCAUUUCUUAUCCCAAGAGGAGGUGAGUAUUCGUUUGUAUACCCUGGAGACUCUUCAAAUAAACCACUGCUCAGGGCACUGUCUGCCAGACCCACCUUCCCUAUGAUCUAGGGGAGAAAAGCAUCAAAUGAAAGCCAGAAAGUUCACCCAUCUGGAUGCAACCUGCACGUACUAAAGUGGGCAUGUCUGUUCUGUUAGCAGAGAUCCCCAGCUCCCAGCUCAGUGCAGCGCCAGGAGGAGACACCAUGCCAGGUCAUGAAGCCAGAUCUGUAUUCAUAGGCUGUUGCACCCAAAUAAGAAAUCCUCUCUGUCCACAUCCAGCAGUAAUACAUGGCAUGCACCCAGUGUGCUCAGGUGGAUUAUACAGAUGUGUGCAGUACCUAAACCAUGCUGCUGCCAGCUCUCCAUGGCAACUCAUUUCAGCAAAGACAGGGACACUUGUAGGAAAGCAAACUGAUGCAGGAGAAUUUAAUAAGUCUUGAGCCUACAUGAAAAUAAAGCCAAGCUUUCCUUAUCCUGUCUUGUCCUCACUGUUCAAUAAAAAGAAUGCAAGAAAAAAAAGCAAUCUGUAGAGUAUAAAUCAUGACUUGAUAAAUGUAGGUCCUUAGAAGCCAGUUGUGUAAAUACAGAUACACCUGCAGGCCCUGAUAACCAGAUUAGCAGUAACAGCUGCCAGACCAUGCAGCAACAACCAAGAGAUAUUGUUGUGUCCUGGCCAACGAAGUUUCCAGAUUGACUCUCAGGUGCUUCCCGUACAUCACUGUUAGUGAGAGCAAUGCAUCAUGAAAGUAGAUGAUCUCCAUUGAUCUUGAAAAUGUAACAUUUUUCUCUUUGAAUGUAUACAAUGCAGUUUGACACUCGCACUAGUUCACAGUACCUCCAGUGUACAAAGGGAUGAGACUUUGUCUGCUGGCAGCUGGGAAGAAUAUCUGAACAGGAAAAAAGAAGUUGUGUCUGGGUUUGGUAUGACCUCAUGUUAAAUAGUAUAUCCUUAUUGGGUAAAUAUCCAUAUCAACUGAUUCAUAGGUGUCCUGCCUUACCUGUUCUUAUUGAAAAUUAGAAUCUAAAAUUAACAAUUUUUCUUGGCAAAGCUCCACUUGAAUUGCAUGAAAAAAUCUGAUGAGCCUCAGAGUGACAAGAAGUACAAGCUAGAUCUACAAAUAUACACAGGCAUAGACAGAGGGGAAAAAAAAACUUUUUGUCCCUACCAACAAAUCUAACAUCAGUGGUUCUAUCUCAGCACUGCUCUUGUUAUUCUUCCUAGAAAUAGAGAUAGUUCAAAGACAAUAUAAUAAAAUUUAGGUGCUUGUGACCCACUGAGACUGUUGAGCCAGGCCUUCCUUGGUGGUACAGUUCCACUGGGGCUGAGGCAGUGGUAGAGCCAGGGCUGAUAACAUCAUCCUCUGGCAGCCCCCAACACAGCAAGCCAUCAACCUGCCAUGAGCAGAAGGAGGUGGGCCCAGAGACACUGCUGUAGAGCAGUUCUCCUGCAACAUUGCCAAAGCAAGACAACCAGCACCAGGCAGGACUGAAACAAGGCUCCUGGGCAUGGAAAGCAGUGGGUUGAGGCUCCCACUAUGAGUAGUAUCCUCAGAAAAAUCCUUUAUAGGAAAGUGUUUGAAUACCUUUAUAUCCAAAUUCAUGUGAUAAUCCUGCCCUAAAGGACCUAGGCAUGAACUAACCAGCCAAGAACUAGUCUUCCACCACGAGUAUCGGGUCUAGACUAAAAAGCCUGUGUUUCUACUCAUUUCUAAUGAUUCAAAUGACUCCCUUCUUGACAAGAAUAUCUACUGCAACCAAAAACAGUGAAAACUUGAUAUAAGUUGAAAUGUUGACUGUAUAGUUAAUAUGGACUGAACACCUAGCCAGAUCAAAAUAACUGAAAUAAUUGAAGGGUUACUGUAUGCUGGAUGUCUCUUGUCUUUGUGAGUAGUGGAAUGGAUACUCUCACAGCCAAGCUGUGAGGCAACCAAUUCAGCCUUCACAUUUCCAGUCAAGAGGCACUGCACUGCAGACAGAACUCUGAAGAAUAAUUACUGAUUACUAAUAUACUGUGGAGAAAUUGCUUUAUUACAAGGUGCAUUCUAACAUGCUGUAAAGAUGUACAAAAAAAAAAACAAAACAAAACAGAAAAAUUAAAUACUUAAAAGAUGAUUCUAGCUUGUUGUGGCCUGUUGCAAAGCAGUUAUAAAUUGGAGUACUUACAGCGGUUCAUGCAUGUCCCUGCAUGUUUGAACAGCAUAUCAGAGAAUUUAUUUAUCAGGGGAAAAAAAAGUCUCUGCUAAGUCAUUUAGUUCUUAAAAAGGUUCCUGUCAUUUACAGUUUUGCCAGAUUCUAUAAGGCGCAAUACCAGAUUGUCACAUGGGAAAGGCUUGCAGAUUCAAGUCCUUAUUCUUCCCUGUAGCGAGUACUGGAACGAACAAAUUUGGGACACAGAGGUUACGUCAAAGCCUUCCAACUCUUUGAAGGAUAAUUACCAUACCUGCAUAAUCACAUGGUCUACCUUCCAUGCGUUCAUGUUAAGGAGAGGACAUUAAUCUAACUAACGCCCAGCGGCUGACAUUAUAUAUAUAUAUAUAUAUAUACAAUAGUUCUCUAUAAGAUAUAGCACACCACUUAACAGCUGCAGAAAACUCCUUACUACAUUCACAAACCCUUGAUGGAAAGAGCUGCUUAAUUCUUUUCAGACCUGUCAUAUUAGGUAAGAGUGUUCUGCUGCAGGAUGAUGAUGAUGCUAAUUGUCACUUUGUAUUGUUUCACUAGACAGCCUAGCCCACUACUUUAUUAUGGGUUAUGUAAGAGUUACAAGAGGUAGCCAAUAAACAGUGCACUAACAGAAUCAUUUACACUCUGAAAUGUUCAGAAGUACUCACAGGUAUGUCUAGAAGUCAUCUAAAACAACGCUUUGGUUCCAGGGGAUGGCAUGUGCUGAUGCUAUGAUCUAUGUAAGACUCUCCUCAGCAAACAAAUCACAAAGAAUGUUCCCGCAGCUCUUGGUGUCGGAGGCUUGGAGGAGCUCAUCCUCUUUCAUGUUAUGCAGUAUCCAAAGAGACUAUAGUGCAAUAUUCCCCUUUUCACUAUCUGUACAAAGGUUUUGGUUGACUGGCAAGGAAAUAAUGGAAUCAAAUGGCACAUAACAACUGGCCCUCUCCCAGCGCUUGUCCAUCUUCUUUCAGUCCAUUUGUGAAAUCAUAUGGAAAUCUCAGCAAUGUUGGGAUGUCCAAACAAGCAUGGUGAGCCUUUCAGUCCCUAUUUAAUAUAUUAAUGAUCAAGAAAUUGUGUCCUUUCUCACGUGGUUUGCAAAUCUUUACUGCUGUCAUUUCCACCGGAAAGUGGUAAAAUAUGGAAGUGUUUUGAUGGAGGGAGGAGGAAAAUCUUUUCAGAUACAGUGUAGAAACAAAUAAACACAAGACAUAGUUCCUGGUUUGUAACCAAAAUCAAUAGCCAUAUGCAGCAGGACUGAGGUCAAUUUAUGCUCCCAUGUUUCACAUAUUGACAAAAUCUGUAUUAUUGUAAUGCUGUGUUUUAUUAACCUAUGUCUAAUAAAGCUUAUACUUCAUUAAAAAGCCAUUUUCAAACAGAUUCUAUGCAUUUUAUUAAUAAAUAAAUUUUAUUACUUACUGUAAAAUCAGUAACAUAAAUAAAGUACAUUAAGCAUGUCCUUUUACCUACAGAAAACAUAUCACAACUAUUUUCCUCCAAGAUCUAAUUAGAUUAAGCUUUCAUUUUCAAAACAGAAGAAAAUACCUGGGGCAGAUCUGGCUAUAAGUCAGCACCAUACCUGUUGGCUUCUUUGUUUUGUAUUUUUGUUUAUUUGGUUAUUAUUUUACCAAGUAGCAAAUUUGCCUAUGUAAUAAACAAAAGGAGCCCUCUUGUGAUAGAGCCUACUCAAAAGUAAAAACAGAUACUCGUGAAAAUAUCAAAUGAUUAAUUUUUUUGCAUUUUUUAAACAAUUAAAUGGUGUUCAUUAAUAUUUCAUACUGCACAAAUAUUUUUAUAAUCAUGCUUGCUAUCUCUGUAACAUUCAGAUAUGCCUGCAAAUGUUGAGUAGCCAUAGAUCCUAGAGUCAGGCUCUUUAUUACAUAUGCUUAUAACUAUGACUCAUAAACAAGUGCUAAACUAAAUGCAGCAUAUGCAAUUGUUGAAAUAGCACUUUGUUUGGGGGAAAUAGCGUCUUGAAUUAAUGCUAUGAUGGAAGUGUGAACUUGUAUAACAUAUCUGAGUUUCAAUUUCUUACCUUUAAAAUGGGAGAAUUAACUUCAAAUGCUGAGUAUAUCACUCUUGUAAGAGAUAACAAGUCUGGAAACCAAGGAGAGUCCACAGGGUCCUCAUUGUUGAAGCAGGACAAGAAAAUUAAUUUCCCUAGUAAUUAAUAUGUUGCCACUGCAGUAAUAGACCAACAUGACAAGGUGAAGGAUCUUAGUACGAAUAUGAUCCAACAUGAUGCUUGAGCUGCAUGUUGAAAGUAGACAUUGACAUUGAUUGUUUCAUUUCUGGGAGCCUAUCAUCCAUGGCCCUAAUUAACUGCAUUUGGAAAUCUGUGUGAGCUACCUAUGGAACAGGCUUUGUCUGUCCUUACAUUUCUCCCUGAAUGGGGCUGCAAGGCUAAACUCUCUGGUUGCCUACUUUUAUAGUGGGGACAGUUGCAAUACACAUGAGCACAUUUGAAUGGCUGCUUUAACCUUUUCAGUGAGGAGAAGAUGCUCAACCAUGAGACCUCUUGUGAAGAGGAGGCAACACGUCCCAUACCCAAUUCAUUUCACAGAGGUCAUCCAAGUGCUUUCACCAAAUUCUCUUAUUUUCAUUGUGACAUGAGAAGACAUUCUUAUUGAAGUGUGCUUAAAAGAAAGCAGUCCUUGAACUCUGGAGUGACAGAAUUUUGUCUUCGUAGUUCAGUGUGGUCUACUUAUUCCCUGUGAGAGCAGAAGCAAUGCAGGGAGCACACCUUUCCCUCCAACAAUAUGGGAGGGGCUGAUACCUGGGACCUCAGUGAAGCACAGGCUGAGUUUAUUCACAGUCCAGAUUUCCUCAUUACUCCCAUGUUAUCAUUAAUAUUUCAGAUCUCCUCAAAGUCAAAAUACCAGAAUAUCUUUGUUCUCAUGAGAAAUCCAACAGCUCCUGGGGGGAAAACGCUAUCUGGAGAAAAAUCCAGACUAGAAGUGUUUAGCUGAAAAUAAUCCCCACUUUCGUUUUAAUUUACUCAUAUUUUAAUUGGAGGGAAAGAGAUGUGGGAAAUAUUGGUGAGCAGUGAAAAAGAAAGAAAGGCAAAUUCUGUACACCAAUCACUGGAGUAAAAGGUCACACCAAGGGGCAGAAUUUCCCUUCACUACAGCUGAUAGUGUUCCUCUCUAUGGAAUAUCAAGGGGAAAAAAAAUCCUAAAGUUCAGUGCUUUUCAGUGAAAAUAUUUGAUUCUUAGUCUCAAGAUUUAGACUGAGAACAGGAGGCAGUGAUGGAAUAAAUGAGAUGGAAAAAACCCUAUUAACACUCCAGGUCUCCUAAGAGUAGAAGUGACAGAACAGCCUUGUUCUUUUAAACAGAGUGCAGAGGACAUUUUAGCAGAAAACAACAACCAGCGAUAAGAUCCUAUUUGAGGGGCAUCGAUUUUCCCCUCAGGGCUCUACAUAGAAAAGAACGUAACAGCACAUUUUACUCCUGCUGGAGAUGUGCUAAAGCAGCUGUCCAGUACUUGGAAUAGAAGGAAAAACUGUUCUGAAGCACUUCUUUGUUACUUCAGUCUUUCUCUAUAUCUGAUGCAAGUCAGAAUUCAACCUUUGCAAAAUCACAAGUUGUACUCAGCUCUGGAUUUCAGAGUUACGGACCAACUCCUCCAUCAAUUCCUAUUUCCACCAUUCCUAUUUCUCUUAGUCAUACACUACACUGGUACCCUACAAUCACAACUUUCCCACAGUACUGAACUUCAAACAGUAAAUCACACACAAUACCAAAGUCUCAUUGAAGAGAGGUUUCAACCCAUAGUGAAAAUUGGUCUCCUGUUUUUUCUUAAAAACAGGAAUAAAUUAGUAUUUGCAAACUGACUAUAACACAUCUGUAGUAUUGAGAGCUUUGUAACAGCACCCUUCCAGAGAUCUACCCUGUGUGUGUCCUCCCUUACAUUUAAGUUUCUGAAGUGAGGAGCCGACAUCACACAAGCAAGGCUGGAAGGAGCCCUAUGACAUCACCUCUGCUAUCUUUCUUCCCCAAGGUAUCAAAAGAAGUAAUUUAAGGGCAUUCUGAUAGAUCAGAGAUAGCCACCCAUUUUGUUUGGAGAAAGUAUAUGAAAGCUUUCGUACUUCAGAAGACUAUAGAACAGGCUAGAACUUUCAGAGCAAUACUUCUAUUUUCUGGCACAUUUUUUUCUAACUCGGGAACUCUUUUCACAAGAGUUUUGAUCUCAGGUUUAUCAGGCAGUUGGGGAAGAAAAGAUAAGGACUGAAACAUUUCAAACUAACUGAAAGUAUCUGUGUAAGACUGAACCUAAGGGAAGAUGAAAACUCAAAAGUGGGCAGUUGUGUUCUUGUUUAUCCCAAUCUCACCACACCCACAUGGUAGCAAAAUAGGCCCCAUGCCGAGAAUUUGUGGCAAGAGCCUAUUGUGUGGGCUUGGAAUAAUUUAAGAAUUGACUGUCAGUCUGUUUCUUGGCUUCCAGCUAUGAAGUAAUGCUCUAAGUAGAGAGCGAUACUCUGAAGCGCUCAUUACAAUCUUUAAAGCUGUCUCAUUUUCAAUUAUGAAUAUUAAAAAGAAGUACUCAGUAAUUCCUGCAUGAUAAUUAAUAUUCCAACUUUUGGUGUGGCUUGUUGGUUUUUUAAGGUCUAUUUUUAAAGACACUCUCUUAACUUAUUCCGGAGUUAGUUCCCAACAACCAAAUAUUGUUCCUGUUUAUAUCAGUGGGGAAAGUCCCAGUGAAAAAACUAAUCAGACCGAAGUUAAUGAAAACAACACCCCCAUUUAAAACAAUGCCCUAGCCUUAAACAAUCUGCUCGCAUUGCCUACUUGUAUAAAAUUUUAUAGCCUGCAUGUUCCAACCUUAAAAAAAAAAAUCCUGAUUAUUUAUUUAUGCCCUUUUUGUUUAAGAAGUUAAAUCCCCAGAGCAUCUCAAUUUAGAUCAAAAGCAAGCUACCAAAAUUCACCUGGCACACCUGUGCCGUGUGAUUUCUUAAUUACUUGCCUAGCAUUCUCAGAGCUACAAGGCAGAGAUGCAGGGCUCGUUUAGCACAUAUUCAGAUCUCUGCAAUGAACCUUGUGUAACAGAGACUUUCCAGAGUGCCCGAGGUGGUAACCAGUGUUAAACGAUCCCAUAUCUCCACAAACACUUGCAUUUCAGCAAUUUGCUUUCUCACAGGUUUCAGAAGACAGAGAGCUAUCUUGGGGUGAGUAAUCUGGGGAAAUAGAUUGAUUUAUUUAUGAGUUUCUUGAUGAAGGUUUUCCCCGGCUAGUGAGCAGCAUGGAGUUCCUUGCGCCAGUAGAGCCUUCUCAGUUCGAAGCGUAGAAGUAGGCCUAUUAAUUAUGAUAGCCACAGGUUGUUAUUACUUACAUUUAUGAUGCAACACCCUAGGAACCAAGGGAAGAGUUUGGCCAUUUCUGUUACACCUCAGACAAGUCUUCAGUUGACAGUCACGGACAUUAACCUAAAAAGAUGUACUCAAAACAGGAGCAUGAGGUAUGGCACAAACAAGGCUCAUCUGAGGGAGCACACCCCAAGUUUUUGCUGAGACACUUCUUCCUCUUGGCUACAGGAUGUUUCUACACAGUGAUGAGAAACUGAGUUCACAUGUUAGAUGUGACUGCUGCUAUGCUGAUAUGCACGACUGACCAUUGAUAUGCCCCUUGUCUAGCCAGAGAACAUGCACCACUUGGAUGUAGAUGGGCUCAAAUUCAUGUUCAGUUUGCACGUACACUGACAAUUGUGUACAUGCAGGAGAAGAUCAAUCAUGUCUUAAACCUCCCUAGCACUGAGCACUCCUAGCUGUGUGUCUUCAUGCACGCAGUUUUAUAUUUUAAUAGGAUAGUCACGGUAAUUUGUUCUUUACAAGCGGUUUGGAUAGCAAUUAGGCAUCAAAUAUUACAGCUGCUUCUUUGGCUAUUUGUCAUUAGUGUAAUUUCAUUAAUUGGACAAAGCAUUGACUCUGUUAACCUGAAUAUAAUUUAAACUGCUGAAAGCUGAUGGCAUCUCUCUUGGUACAGUGAAAAUACACUGCUCUGUCAGAAAGCUAAAGGCAAUUAUUACUAUUAAUAGUGCAUGCUUCCACAGCACAAAGAAACUUCAGUGCCAUCAGGAUUCCUUACAUGCAAGAGAUGAAGCAGUUGACUUGAAUCACGCACAAAAUGAACAGAUGCAACCUGUGAUCCCUGCUUUAUCAGCGUCAUUCACUGUGACCAUUAAUGGACACAGAAAACAUUCAAUUCGAUAAUGUGUCUUUUCAUGAAAGAUUUUAGGAGAAAAUAUUUUCAGUUGUUUGCUUCAAAAUUCAAUUUUUCAUUGAGAAACAUAUCCAUUGCCAAGAAUAUUGCCAAAAAUUGCCAAAAAGUCCCAAAUGGAACCAGAGAUGCUGAAAAGGCUCUGCACAAGAUCUGUUUCAAGCAAAUAGAAGUCUCUUUUGGCAACACCAUUCUGAUUUGAUUACAGGAAAAGACAAGCCAGUAAAUUUUAAUUUGUAGAUUUGUAAUUUGUUCAUAAAAAUUUCAAAUAAUUUUGCAAGGAAGAUUGCCGUGUAUCUUACAGAUAAUACAAAAGAGAUCUUCAGGUACACUGAGAUUCGGUUGAUCAAGAUACUAAUUACUAAGCUACAUUUAAUUUCAAAAUUUUAAAAUGCUUGAAAACUCAACCAAUCAUCUCUGUUCCUUGAAAACACAUUGUUUUUCAGAAAUAUUACAGAAAAUCUGGGAUAUGGAGAUAUUUUUAAAGGUUGUGCUUCAUAACAAUGCAUUUCCCAGCUUCCUCUGUGCAAUAAAAAGGUAAACUAAGUUAUCAACAAGAAAUCUAUCUGCUAAAAGUUAAUAACAAACAUCUGCUGGUCUCCUGGGAGAGACAGUGGAAAAUGGGUGGGAAUUUCCAGCUUUAAGCAGCCACUCCCGCAGUGUUCAAGUCAACAGAAAAACCUGUCAGUAGAAGGUCAGAGUCAUUAGGAGAUUUUUUCCCCUGCAGAGAAAUAGAUCAGAUACCCAUAAUUUCAGAGACAUUAUUUAGGAUUUUACAAAGUUCUCACAUUAGGUGAAGCUCUUAUGUAAAGCCUACCUUUCGGAGCUACAUUUUAAAGGCUUAUAAGACCACCCUGAAAGGUGCAAAGGAGACACGAACAAGCUCUUGUCAGUGGUGCCCAGUGCUAGGACAAGAGGUGACGGGUGCAAACUGGGGCACAGGAGGUUCCCCCUGUCCAUCAGGAGGCACUUCAGUGCUAUACAGGAGACAGAGCACUGGCACGGGGACACAGAGAGGGUCUCCUCUUUGGAGAUCUCCAAAAGCCACCUGGAUGUGGGCCUGGGCACCCUGCUCUGGGUUGUCCCGCUGGAGCAGGGAUGGGCCAGAUGACUCCAGAUACCUCUUCCAACCUCGGCCAUUCCAUGAUUCUGUGGCUAUAAGCAAGCAAAGGUCCCAAUCCACAAAAGAAUACAGUUUAAAAAGAUUCCUAACAUCAGCAAAGUCGAGACAAUAUGUAAUGUCCCAUAUGUUCAUGAUCCUAAGCCCCUUGCGCUAUCUUAGGUAAUGCUCUUUUAGUGUCAGAAAUGUCUCAUUUGCCAAUCACUAAGAAUACAUACAUAAGCCAUUAUUUCUGUUCAGUUGAUUCAUGGUCAUUUGUUAGAUUACAGUAAUAUGAUUGUGACGCUGAGUCCUAAGAAGUCAUUAUCUAAGGUAAUUAUAAAUUCUAAAGGAGCAAAAUACUUUCAGCACAUAGAGGGAAAGAACAGGUAGUUUAAUAUGAAGUUCUGCAGGUACCUUCAGAAUGUCUGACCUGAAAGAUGCCAGGUUUUAAUGAGGAAAGAGGAUAAGUGCUGAUAUUCUGUUCUUGUUAACUUGAAAAUUUUGAGAUACUUAAAAACUUUUUUUUAUCCAUAGUUUAUAGAAAAAUUAGCUCUUUCAAUUUGCUAACAAAGUUUUCACCAUGAUAUUAUAUAAUAUUGACUGUAGCAUGGUAAGACUUAAAAUGGGUAAAAAUCCAUUACUAUUUUUGCAGUUUUCUUUCUUACCAAACCACUUAUUCAGCAAACAAAUAGCAUAAGGUGAUACUAUUUUCAGGUAUUUUCCUGUCUCUGGGAUAACUGCUGAAGCUUACAUCUGUAAAUAUUAGCUUAAGCAACCUGUUAAAUAUAUUUCUGGUCCUCAAAGAAAUAACUGUAGUUAUAUUUAAGCAUUCCUACUUACGAACAUUUUCACGUAAGUAUCUUCUACCAUCAUUGGCUAAUAUCUCUGCCGACCAACUGUCAUGGAUGUGGCGCAGUUCAAAUCAUCUUGCAUUUCUGUGGGUUUACAUCAUCUUAAACCUGUAUUAAUUUGAAGGUACAUUUGGCACAAUGUGAGUUUUAUGGGCAUCACUUGUAGCAUCAGCAAUUAUUGAGAUUACUUGUUUCUUCUCAUUUCAAGCAUGUUGGUGCUGCCAGUGUUACAGUCAUAUGACUAGCGUGAGCCUGACAUGUCAGACACCUGUCUGAGCUUGAAAGAUUUUUGGAAAACUUCAUCCUAAGGAGUUCAGCUUUUUCCAACACUUUGACCAUGGAAAAAUCCCCAUCUUUUUCAUGUUAAACUCUGAAGUAACCUUUUUUUUUUUUUUUUU
ensembl:lncRNA